GAUGAACGCUGGCGGUAUGCUUAACACAUGCAAGUCGAACGGACUCUUCGGAGUUAGUGGCGGACGGGUGAGUAACGCGUGAGAAUCUGGCUUUGGGUUCGGGACAACCACUGGAAACGGUGGCUAAUACCGGAUGUGCCGAGAGGUAAAAGAGAAAUUGCCUGAAGAUGAGCUCGGGUCUGAUUAGCUAGUUGGUGAGGUAAAGGCUCACCAAGGCAGCGAUCAGUAGCUGGUCUGAGAGGAAGACCAGCCACACUGGGACUGAGACACGGCCCAGACCUCUGGGGGAGGCAGCAGGGGGAAAUUUUCCGAAAGGGGCGAGAGCCUGACAGAGCAAUACCGCGUGAGAGAAGAAGGCUCUUGGGGUGUAAACCUCUUUUCUGAGGGAAGAACAAAAUGACGGUACCUAAGGAAUAAGCAUCGGCUAACUACGUG
rnacentral:rRNA from 1 species